AGUGAACGCUGGCGGUAGGCCUAACACAUGCAAGUCGAACGGCAGCACAGUAAGAGCUUGCUCUUACGGGUGGCGAGUCGCGGACGGGUGAGGAAUACAUCGUAAUCUACUUUUUCGUGGGGGAUAACGUAGGGAAACUUACGCUAAUACCGCAUACGACCUACGGGUGAAAGCAGGGGAUCUUCGGACCUUGCGCGAUUGAAUGAGCCGCUGUCGGAUUAGCUAGUUGGCGGGGUAACGGCCCACCAAGGCGACGAUCCGUAGCUGGUCUGAGAGGAUGAUCAGCCGCACUGGAACUGAGACACGGUCCAGACUCCUACGGGAGGCAGCAGUGGGGAAUGUUGGACAAUGGGCGCAAGCCUGAUCCAGCCAUACCGCGUGGGUGAAGAAGGCCUUCGGGUUGUAAAGCCCUUUUGUUGGGAGAGAAAAGCAGCAGGUUAAUACCCCGCUGUUCUGACGGUACCCAAAGAAUAAGCACCGGCUAACUUCGUG
rnacentral:rRNA from 1 species